AAUUAAAAUUCCAAUAACAAUUAACAAUAUUCCAACAUUACACAAUGACAGUAACAGAAAAACAAUGACAAUAACAUUGUUAACUGCAUACAAACAUUACAACAUUAAUCCAACAUUACAAUAACCUUACAACAUUACUCCAACAAUUCAGUGAUACAAUAACAAUAACCUCUACACACUGAGAAAAUUACAUAUCCAACAAAGGCUUUUGUGAUUAACAUGAUGAUAAAAAAACCAAGACAAAAUAAAACAAAUAAUAAAAAAUUUGAUCUUCUUCUUUAGGUAAUCACCAGUCUUCAUUGUUAAACCAUCUUUCUUAUUCAACU
rnacentral:lncRNA from 1 species